rnacentral:lncRNA from 1 species
CGUGUGAGACAAAGGGCCCGCGACUCAAACAGAGCAUUUGGACUAUAUCACUCUAACUCUGCAGCAAGCUUUCCUGAAGUGGAGUUGGAGAUAGCAUUUCAGUAAAUGUCCUUUACCCACUGCUUAUUCGGGACACACCCUGUUGACUGCUAGAAAUUUUCAUGGGACACAAUUUUGGGAAGUGAGACAUUAGGAGAAGUGAGCUGUCCUCUCCUGACAAGAAAUGUGCUUGGCAGGCUGUGAGUACACGAGGAGUUGAAAGAGUAAAAAGGUGAUCGUCUCAGUGGACUAACUUCCAAUACUACAUUGACUAAAUGUGGGAAAAGUGGAGAAAACUCAUUGUGUUCCUGAUAUUAGAAGAAAAGCUUUCAGUCCUUCACCAUUGAGUAUGACAAUCAGCUCUGAGAAUUUCCAUAUAUAGCCUUUAUUUUGCUGGGGUAGUUUAUUCUCCUUCUAGUUAUUUGGUAUUUCAAUCAUGAAAAGGUGCUAGGUGCUGAAUUUUGUGAAACUGAAUGUUCUGCAUUCACUGACAUGAUGUGAUUUAUACCUUCCACUCUGCUCAUGUGGAGUAUUACAUUGAUAUUUGUAUGUUGAACCAUAAUUAUAUUCGCCUUCCAGGAAUAAAACAGUUCGGUCACUAAGUGUAAUCCUUUUAAUAUGCUGCUGGAUCUUGCUGGUAUUUUGCUGGUGAAUUCUUGCAUCAGUAUUCAUAAGGGAUAUUGGUGUAUAAUUUUAUUGAAUUGUCUUUUUCUGGUUUGGCAUCAGGGUAAUACUGACCUGACAGAAGGAUCAAAGAAGUGUUCUCUCUUCUUGCAUUUUUGGGAAGAGGUUGAGCAGCUAUGGUGUUAAAUGUUCCUUAAAUGUGUUGAAGCGUUUGCCAGUGAAGCCAUCUGAUCCUGGGCUUUUCUACAUUGGGAGGUUUUGGAUUACUGAUUCAAUCUCCUUACUAGUUAGAGGUCUACUCAGAUUUUUUUGUCUUCAUAAUUCAGAUUUGGUAAGGUGUAUGCUUUAAGGAAUUUGUCUAUUUCAUCUAGUUAUACAAAUUCUUGGCAUACAAUUGUAUAUAGUAUUCUAUUACAAUCAUCUUUAUUUCUGUAAAAAUUGGUAAUAAUGUCCCCUCUUGUUUCUGAUUUAGUUUCUUGAGCCUUCUGUCUUCAUUUUUUAUUCAAUCUCACUGAAGUUUUCAUAAUUUUCUUAUGAAAAUAACCAACUCU